GGGGACAUUGGUGACAGGUGGUGCAUGGUUGUCGUCAGCUCGUGUCGUGAGAUGUUGGGUUAAGUCCCGCAACGAGCGCAACCCUUGUCUUUAGUUGCCAUCAUUAAGUUGGGCACUCUAGAGAGACUGCCAGGGAUAACCUGGAGGAAGGUGGGGAUGACGUCAAAUCAUCAUGCCCCUUAUGCUUAGGGCUACACACGUGCUACAAUGGGUAGUACAGAGGGUUGCCAAGCCGUAAGGUGGAGCUAAUCCCUUAAAGCUACUCUCAGUUCGGAUUGUAGGCUGAAACUCGCCUACAUGAAGCUGGAGUUACUAGUAAUCGCAGAUCAGAAUGCUGCGGUGAAUGCGUUCCCGGGUCUUGUACACACCGCCCGUCACACCACGGGAGUUGGAGACGCCCGAAGCCGAUUAUCUAACCUUUUGGAAGAAGUCGUCGAAGGUGGAAUCAAUAACUGGGGUGAAGUCGUAACAAGGUAGCCGUAUCGGAAGGUGCGGCUGGAUCACCUCCUUU
rnacentral:rRNA from 1 species